GCCCAUUUUACAAACAGGAAGAUCUGAAUCAUCUUCAUAAAAGCCGGUGAGGUCGUCAGGCAGGGUUCUCUCAUUGACCCAUUUUAUAGGUGAAGAAACACAGACUCUGAGAGGUUCAUGGACCUGCUUGAGAUCACCCAGCUGUUUGAAGGCCAUCUCUUCCAAGGGGAAGGUGGAGGGACAGAACAGCUGAGUAAUUCUGUUUUCCAUGUCAUCUGUUAACCCUGCACCAUCUGCCAAAUCUACUCUCAGCCCCGACCCGCUCUCUCUGACUGGCUGGAGUGGGGGAGGAGGCGUUUUCCUGGGGUCUGGACUGAGAAUACCCACAGAAAACUCAUUUUUCUGCUCAGAACCAACAGCAGUGGCCUAGAAUUACAGGGCGUGUCAGGGAGUGGAGCGAGAGGGGAGAAAGGAUUUUCUGACAUCAGAGGGAUACAAUAGCAGUCCCCUGCCCCCUACUCUCAGCGACUUGUCUUCACGCCCCUCACACCUUCACCUUGGUGAGGCUCUGGAUCUGUGGGGAGGGUGGUUGACCACAGCAACCAGAGCCCUGCCAGACGCUCUCGGGGUGAAGGCAAAGUAAGUCCAUCUUACAGGGAGCUGAGGCAGAUUUAUGAGGCCUCGGGUGUGGCCGGCUGUUACUCAGCCUCUGACUUUUUAAUUCCCCAGCCUCCUCACCCACCCCGCCUCCUCCCCAAGAAGGCCUUUGUGCAGGACAAUGAGGAAUCUAUAAAUUCCGGGGGACAGGGACGUGGGGGAGGGGAGCACCGGUCACUUCGGCUCAGUGUAGACAGUAAACGGGGGGCCUUCACGGACCUGCCGCGUCUCAACUGUUCCACACAGGCCCAGAGAGAACCGUGGGGCCAAGCCUUACCACUGCCUUUGACAGACAACAAGCUGAGCCUCCCAGGCGGAGGAUGUCUCUAGUCCCUGCUUCGUUCACUCCGUCUUUGGGUUUGGGUGUCAAUACAUCACUGAAUUUAUUUAUUCUCCCUCUCUUCCUCAUCCCCUAGUCAUUCCCUCGCCCAGGCAUUAUUCACUCAACACUCGCUGAGUACUCAGUGUCCAGGUCAAG
ensembl:lncRNA